ACACUUGCAUUUGGCAACCAAGCCAAAGCACAAGAGGCAGCUGCCAGACGGACAUCUGAAUGUGCAGGACUGAGGAGAUCAGAAAAUGUCACACCCUCAACAUCACAGUCUACAAUGGAGGAAGGCCCUGGUCCCUCAACACAACAGGCUGACCCUGAUAACCUGUGGGAACUUCUGGAUGGCCGAGUUGGUGCCACUCAGAGUCCAAAAUGCAACAGCCGACGCAGCAGUGGAGGUUCAGCCAUAUUUAUCUGAGCCCUACCUCUCCAGAGCAGAAGACCCCUUAAAAUACUGGCAUUCGAGGGCGGCAGUUUAUCCAAAUCUGUUCAAGCUUGUUCAAC